CAAUUGCUCUUUAAUUGGGAGAUGGAAUGAAUGGUACUACGAACCAAAAUCUGUAUUUUUUACCAUGAAUUUUAAUUUUCAAUGAAAAUGUUGAAAUAAUUUUUUUAGACAAAAAGACCCUAUGAAGCUUUAUAAUAAGCCACUACACUUUAUUAUUUAAAAUUAUUUUUUUGGGGUAAAAUAUAAUUUUUUUAUUAUGUGAGUUAAACUACUUUUAUCCAAAGUUGAAUUAGGAAUAAGCUCCUCUAGGGAUAACAGCAUAAUCUGGGCUGAGAGAUCUUAUUAAAGC
rnacentral:rRNA from 1 species